rnacentral:rRNA from 1 species
UACGAAGGGGGCUAGCGUUGUUCGGAAUCACUGGGCGUAAAGGGCGCGUAGGCGGCUUUUUAAGUCGGGGGUGAAAGCCUGUGGCUCAACCACAGAAUUGCCUUCGAUACUGUAGAGCUUGAGACCGGAAGAGGUAAGUGGAACUGCGAGUGUAGAGGUGAAAUUCGUAGAUAUUCGCAAGAACACCAGUGGCGAAGGCGGCUUACUGGUCCGGUUCUGACGCUGAGGCGCGAAAGCGUGGGGAGCAGACAGG